CGUAGUGCAUCAGUCCUCUUCGAAGCUUCGUUCGUCUUUCACGUGUCUGCAACAGCUGUUUCGAUAUCGGCCGGCGUCAGCCUGUGCCGAACGAUACCGAAUAGUACCGAAUGUUACCGAUUGGUCUUCGAGGGGUAGGAAGGUCUCGUCAUUUGUCUCGUGAACGUCGAGGUGAUAAGACGCGUUGAGAACGUCCUUUCUUACGUGCCGGUAGUACAUAAUAGAUAUUUGGCAUUGGUUUGACAUUGGUUUGAUAUAAUUUCAUAAAGAAUUGGUAACGUUUUCAUUUAUUGUAAUCAAUUGUUAAUAUUGUUUUUUUUUGUUGGGUCGUUAUUAAUUGUAAGCAUUUUUAAUAAUUAAUUGGUACCAAGGUCAAGGAAAGAAAGAUCAAAGAAAUUUCUUUUUAUCGAUUAAUACAAAAAGGAUCAUUAAUUUUUCAUUUUAUUAAAUAAU